AGUGAACGCUGGCGGUAGGCCUAACACAUGCAAGUCGAACGGCAGCACAGUAAGAGCUUGCUCUUACGGGUGGCGAGUGGCGGACGGGUGAGGAAUACAUCGGAAUCUACUUUUUCGUGGGGGAUAACGUAGGGAAACUUACGCUAAUACCGCAUACGACCUACGGGUGAAAGCAGGGGAUCUUCGGACCUUGCGCGAUUGAAUGAGACGAUGUCGGAUUAGCUAGUUGGCGGGGUAAAGGCCCACCAAGGCGACGAUCCGUAGCUGGUCUGAGAGGAUGAUUCGCCAAACUUGAACCGAGAACCGGUCCAGACUCCUAAGGGAGGCAGCAGUUGGGAAUAUUGGACAAUGGGCGCAAGCCUGAUCCAGCCAUACCGCGUGGGUGAAGAAGGCCUUCGGGUUGUAAAGCCCUUUUGUUGGGAAAGAAAAGCAGCAGGUUAAUACCCCGCUGUUCUGACGGUACCCAAAGAAUAAGCACCGGCUAACUUCGUG
rnacentral:rRNA from 1 species